GAUGAAGAACGUAGCGAAAUGCGAUAAGUAAUGUGAAUUGCAGAAUUCAGUGAAUCAUCGAAUCUUUGAACGCACAUUGCGCCCGGUGGUAUUCCGCCGGGCAUGCCUGUUCGAGCGUCAUUUCACCAUUCAAGCCCCGCUUGGUAUUGGGCGCCGCGGUCUCCCGCGCGCCUCAAAGUCUCCGGCAGAGCGACUCGUCUCUAAGCGUUGUGGAUCUUUCUAAUCUCGCUGAAGGGCUCGGGUGGCGAUGGCCGUUAAACCCCAACUUCUGAAUGUUGACCUCGGAUCAGGUAGGAAUACCCGCUGAACUUAAGCAUAUCAAUAAGCGGAGGA
rnacentral:misc_RNA from 1 species